rnacentral:rRNA from 1 species
GAUGAACGCUAGCGGCAGGCUUAAUACAUGCAAGUCGAGGGGCAGCAUGAAGUAGCAAUACUUUGAUGGCGACCGGCAAACGGGUGCGGAACACGUACACAACCUUCCUUUAAGUGGGGAAUAGCCCAGAGAAAUUUGGACUAAUACCCCGUAACACAACGAAGUGGCAUCACUUUGUUGUUAUAGUUUCGGCGCUUAAUGAUGGGUGUGCGUAUGAUUAGAUAGUUGGCGAGGUAACGGCUCACCAAGUCUACGAUCAUUAGCUGAUGUGAGAGCAUGAUCAGCCACACGGGCAAUGAGACACGGGCCCGAAUCGUACGGGAGGCAGCAGUAAGGAAUAUUGGUCAAUGGACGCAAGUCGGAACCAGCCAUGCCGCGUGAAGGAUUAAGGGCCUCGGGAUUGUAAACUUCUUUUAUAUGGGACGAAAAAAGGUCUUUCUAGACCCCUUGACGGUACCAUAUGAAUAAGCACCGGCUAACUCCGUG